rnacentral:rRNA from 1 species
UACGUAGGGGGCAAGCGUUGUCCGGAUUUAUUGGGCGUAAAGAGCUCGUAGGCGGUCUGUCACGUCGGCUGUGAAAACCCGAGGCUCAACCUCGGGCCUGCAGUCGAUACGGGCAAACUAGAGUGCAGAAGGGGCAACUGGAAUUCUCGGUGUAGCGGUGAAAUGCGUAGAUAUCGAGAGGAACACCUGCGGCGAAGGCGGGUUGCUGGGCUGACACUGACGCUGAGGCGCGAAAGCCAGGGGAGCGAACGGG